UCUGGAGAUCCCUUUUCUAUGGAGUCUUUCUUGCCAACCUAGAUCUUUGGAUGCAGGCUGUGGGAGAAGUGUGAGCUCUCUGUCUAUUACAAGGGACCAUGGGAGAGGACUGAGUGCAGAAGAGCUUUGGGAUGUCAAGUCUCCAGAUGGUUACUGUCAGAGAGUUGGUAAUGCCUGUUCCCAAAGAGCUGUGGUUCAGCUUGGAGCAUUGAGCAGCAUCUCCAGAGGACAAAUUAAGGAAGAAACAGCUCUGAGGUUGUACCAGACCUGGAAAGAAAUUAUGCGUCAGCUGCUUGGAAAGGAGACUUAAUGCCAGGAAAAAAAAAACCCAAACACUUCAAACAAAAGGUUACUUACUGGCACUGAACCUAUGUUUAUGGCCAGCAUACACCAACCUCACCCCUGCAGGAUGGAAGGCAGCAGCUUCUUGGAGAAGCCCAGAUCCUACUACUGUGAUGUGCUGAUGGAUGGGAGUCUGCACGACAAGCGAUGAAAUGCAAUGAGAGGCAUACAGAAUUAAGCUGUUGUUAUAGUCUGCUUGGACUGGACACCAACUGGAACAGAAAAGUGAACCCUUGUGCAAUGAAUAACAAAAAUAGAAGGAACAUGAGGUAAAGUUACAAGGUGAAGAAUUAGUGCCAGUGUUACAAAUGGUGACAAAUUUUGACCUAUGUUUAUGGCCAGCAUACACCAACCUCACCCCUGCAGGAUGGAAGGCAGCAGCUUCUUGACCUUGCCACCUCACAGUCCGUGAUUAUAUCACCAGCUGGGACAUGUGCUGGAGAGGAAUAAAGUGAGCUCGAGCCAGAUAAUAAUAAUUUUUCCAUUCACAGGGAGUGUGUGAAUCUCCUUGAGGAACAGAAUGCCUGAAAUCAUUGGAUUCCAGGGUAGCUCAGCCUAUGACAGACUCAAACGUAUGAUUGCAGCUCUUAAAGUGUAAUGAGACCCAACUGUACAGUGAAACAUUUCCAGACAUACAUAUGUGAUACAGGAAAAAUCAGGUGCAAAAAUUUCUCUGUUGUCUGGUCAUAAACUGCAAAAAAUAUUCUCUGUAAACUGUAAAAAUCCAGUGAACUCUCUAACACAAAACUUAGUUUAUGUUCACACCCACCACACUUCUCUUUAGAGUUUAAGUAUCUUCAGAAUAGAAGUUGUGAGUUUUGGGUUGUUUUGGGUUUGUUCAGGUUUUUUUUUUUUUGCUGUUUUGUUUUGCUUUGUUUUUAAUAAUACGUGCCCAGAAGAAGGGACUUGAAUCCUCCUCUUCUGUUCAGGAAGAAAGAAAGAAUUUUCAUGCCUGUUAAUAUAUGAAUGUAUAUAUAAAUCCAGAGUUGUACUGGACUUUCAAUAGCAUUAUGUUCAGCUGAGUGGCACCAUCAUAAGAGAGCCCCACGUUCACCAAGGGCUUGUGGAAGAGAGAGGGUAGCAAGGAGAAGGCACAAUAGGUACUAAGAGAUGAUAGUCAUUUGAAAAAGCAGGUAACAUUGAAAAAGUGAUGUAAAAUAAGCAAUUCAGAGUAACUGAUCAAAAUUUCAAUAGCCGGUUCAGCUGAAUGGGACUAAAUCCAUCUACCAUGCUGUAUGCAUAUGAUAGGUAGGUACUGCCCUCUUUUUGUAUCUUGUCUCAUAAGAACACUAUGCUAAAGUAAUAAAAUAGUUCAGCAGUUGGAGACAAGGUAGAGGUUUGUGGGGGUGUGGGGGAGAAGCCAAUGUCUCUGGCUGGCCAGACUGGAUUAGGACAGUGUUUUUUGAAUGGCAUAAACACCUUGUGUAUCAUUGGAGUACAUGAUGUCAAGGACAUUUUACAUUUGAAAUUUGAGAGAAAACAGUGAUUUUUAUAAAAAGUCCUUUUAAACUUAGUUCCAGCAAUAAAUUAUGCUUUCUGGCAGUAGAAAAUAAGAAUUCACAUUAGCAAACCCAAAUGGUUCUAGAAGGACUGCUAUUCACCAUUAUUGUUCGGAAAACCAAUUUUAUUAUUCUUGUAUGAAAAAGUUCUAGCUUAAAAUUGUCCACAGUCUUUACAGCGUUUCACAAGACUACAAGAAUGUUCUCUAGAGAUCAUCAUUUUUUUUUUCACAAAUCUUGCACCUAGUAAUCCCUUGGGUUUUCAACCAUAUAGAAAUAGAGAGUAGGUAUUCUAUGAAGAAUGAUUAGGUUGUCCAUACAAAGCUCAGACUAGGAAUUUAAAUAAAUAAAUAAGACAGAAAAUAAAGAGAAAAAUGAGGAAGAGAAAAUAUUUUAGUGAAAUACUACAAUUCUAACAUCUGUUUCUCUAAAAUCAGUACUCCACAAUUCAGUGGAAAAAAAAUUGUUUUUUUUUAAAUGGACACAAUCAGAUUACAGGAAAUUUCACUCGUACAGAAAGGUUUAUGGAUUUGAUAUUGUAUUGAUUGCACUCUAAGUAGGCUAGCAUAGACUUCUGGUCCACGCGUAUUUCUGCGUUCAUUCCCAAUAAAAGAACUGAAGCUAAAAUGUCCAUAUACUCUUUCAAAAUACCAGGUAGAUGUGAGAAGUGUUAUACAUGAAUUAGAAAACAAAAACUAGUUUUAAAAUCUUGAACAGGCCCAGAUUAAGACUCCAGUAACCCAGUGGCAAAUUGCAAGAAUGUUCUGAUCCAAAAGAAAUUUCCCAAGAGUAAAGUUGAUUUUAUGCAUAGGAGAAGCUAGAGGGGGAAGCAGGUUUUAGAAAUGCAAAACUGGCAGCAGUAUUAAAUCACAGGCUUAAGUUGCUCAUUUGUAUGAAACAGUAGCUUAUAUUGUAGAUGCAUAUAAAGUACAUGUAGUUCACAGAAGCAAGGUGAAAAUGAGUUUGCAAAGUGUUAAUGAGAUCUUCCUAAAGUCAGCCAGUCUUUGGUAGUCUAGAAGAGAGGAAAAAAUGCAUUAGCUGCUAAGUUCUUAAAUGACUAAUUCUAGCAUAGUCUUUCUGAUCACAUGAUGCACACUCUACUAGUGAAAUCAGAAUUGUGUAUAUACUUGCAAAGUAUUUUUAGAAAGCUAUGAAGAAUUAUCUGGAAGGAAAUUGGAGGAGAGAAUUGCCCUAAAUUAUGCAAAUACUUUAAUAUAAUGUGAUUUAUCUGAGAAAAUUCACUGGAAGAAUAACUACAGUCUCUAAAAAGGCUACAGUAAAUCACUAUAUACUUUUUCCUUCUGUAUAUUGUUCAUAGCUAGGUUUGUAGUUUAAUUUCUACAAGUACUGUGAGAAAUCACUUAGCCUGGAAAGUUUUCAGGGCUUCUAUUACUUUUUGCAAACUUAAAAUCCCUAUGUGACUCUAUACCCCAAACUGCUGUUCUGCUGUUAAAGCUGUGAGUUUCUUCUCUUGCGCUCUUGUUGCUGUCAUGAUUAUUUCAAGGCUAAAGGGAGCAUCCUGAUUGUCAAGUCCAAAUGCAAGUUUUUGAUGGAACAGCAGGCUACUGCUCUGUUUCUGGAGACCCUCCUGGCUCUACUUUCAAAGGGUUUUUGCCUAACUCCCAAGCUGCACCUGGUCAUUGUUACUGAAUGAAGAAGGAAAAGAUGGUCCAUGUGAAAUGGCCUGGAAAUAGUUUGCCUGCUGGUAUCCACAUUUUUCACAGUCCACAUUGUUUUCAGGGUGAAUUUUGUGAGGUAGUGCUUUAUUUCCAAAGUAUUAUGAGAUAGUUGAAGUUGAAGUUUCUAUGAAAUAAUCAGAAAUUUUAAACUAUUAACUCCUAAGAUAUUGAUCCUGGUAAUGACAUAACCUCUUCUUAUAUUUUUCCAAAUGUAACAGGUAAAUGUUUAACAUUGACUUAAGCCUUUAGGAGUCUAAGAUAUUCAACAAUCUGACUUGUUCCAGUAUGAAGAAUGGAAAACAACUAAGAGAUCAGGAUGGUAGGUAGAGAAAGGAAUGAUAAUUACAGCAAGGGCAGAAAGAAUAGAGAUAAGUGUCUGCAACAACUCCAGUGUGGUGAAAGACCUGAAUCCAAAAAGGUGCAGAAAAGUCCAUUAAAAUGAAUGUUUAUUUUCAUGGUUUUAUAUAGUUUGUGAAUAAUCCAUGUAAUGAAAUGGCAUCAUACAAAACAUCACAGUAGAGUCAGGAUUCAAUUAGUACUUUUCUUCCUCUUAUAUCAUUUAAAUCUUUAUUAAAAAUGAGAAAAAUAUAGCUAUAGUUUCUUGUUAUUGCCAAGGGAAAGGAUGGCUAAUAUAAAAAAUUAAAGAUAAUAAAUAAAAAAAGUAGAGGAACACUGAUAAAUAUGAUAAACAUUGCAGGAACAGUUAUAAUAUCUCUUUAGUAAAAUCAACAAAACAAAGACAGUUUAUUCUCCUCACAUUGUGUGUAUAAAUACAUAUCUAUAUACAUUUGUCAAUGACUGUGGUAUAGGGCAUGGUUUGCAUAAUUAAAAGAUUCUCAGUGAGUGAGCUGUUAUAUAUUUCUCUAUUGUUGUCAUCUGCAAAAAGUUUCCCUUAAAAAUCAACCAGAUCAGCUUCUUAUACUACAUCUAUAAAGUACAAAUGGUCAAAAAAGAAUGAAGAAAAAUACACAAAACAAAUAAUCACCCAAUCUCAGUGUGUGAAGUAUCUUCAUUUUAUGAUCUUCAUUUAAUACCCUAAACAAAUGCAUUUGCAAAGCCUAAUGAAAUAUCAAUUAUUAAAUACCACUUCUGCUCAGUACUUUUUUAUACAAUGAUCUUGUUCUGUCUUUUGUAUUAAUCAAGGAAUUAUGUAACUGUGAAAACAUGGUAGUGGAAGCUGGGGUAAAGAAGUGAAGAUUACAGUAAUUAUAAAGAGGUUGUUUGGAUAUAUCAGAGAAAGUGCCCCUGGUAAGCAAAAGAGAAGGGAAGGUGCAAUUUAGUUUAGGGAGUAAGAUAUGUUUGAGAGGGUAUGCGGGGAGGACAAGAUGAGAAAUAUUCCAGGCUGCCAUUUU